ACUAGCAGAGGGAGUUGGUACGCGUACUUGUACAGGUAGAGUACAAAUUUGCCGAGUUCGUGCUGAAAGAGGCAUAUUGGGGCACAGUGAAGGAACCUGUGCUGCUUGCAAUGUUUACCAGUGUCAGAGUUGCUAGGAACAUCAGAAAGCACUCCGGAGGGCACGUGGGGAAGGAUUUCCGUAUGUGCUGUUAACUUGUUGUGUUUCGCGUUUUUGCUAUUUUAGUGAAGUCCACCUUGCGGAAUAAAUCAAUGUAACUUGGAAGCUUAUCAGCUACCUGGUUAAGUACAGGGUUAGUGCACAGAAAACCCAUUUUUAGUUCCGCUGGCACUGGCGAUGG
rnacentral:sRNA from 2 species